CCUGCAAGAUGUAGCUCUCUCAGCUUCAGCUCCAUGUCUGCCUUCACACUACCAUGCUCCCUGUCAAGCUAGCAAUGGUCUGAACCUCUGAGACUGCAAACUGAGGACAAGAAACAUACUAGCAGUCGGGAGGCAGAGGCUGGCGGAUCUCUGAGUUCGAGGCUACCUUGGUCUACAGAGUGAAUUCUAGGACAGCCUCGGCUACACAGAAAAACCCUGUCUCAAAGUAAUAAUAAUAAUAAUAAAAAGAAGUUAAGAAAUUUUCUUUUUUUUCCUAGUCUUUCAUUUUAUAAACAGUUCAGUUCCAAAGGGUGCGACCUGAACCAAAUUGGAGUCGCUCAAUGCACAGUUCCGACAACUUUAAUCCAACAACCGAUUCUUGCAGAAAACGAACGGGUGGAGUCCAACAAUUCUUUAUACUUCUCCAAACCGAGUAUCUAACAAAUACAGAUGGGAAGAGAGCUGGUCAUGGUGGCGCACACUGUAAUCUCGCACUUGGGAGGCCGAGGCAGGAGACUCUCCCUGAGUUUGAUGCUAGCCUGGGCUACAGAGCGAGACUCUGUCAAAACCAGGCAAACAACAACGAAACACACACACACACACACACACACACACACACACACACACACACAGAGAGCGAGACUCUGUGUUAAAACAAACCCAGGCAAACAACAACACACACACACACACAGAGCGAGACUCUGUGUUAAAACAAACCCAGGCAAACAACAACAACAACACACACACACACACACACACACACAGAGCGAGACUGUGUGUCCAACAACUAACACCCCCC
rnacentral:lncRNA from 1 species